AGAUUGAAGCUCGUCAGUGGUGAGGGUAAGCAUCCGUUCCGACUGUGUUAGGACAAUCGGUUCCCAAUCGGGGCCGAGACCCGUGUAUAUGCGUCAAUUAAUGUCUGCUGAUGUUUUUGGUUUUCCGAUUUGGGCAUAUCGAAGAGCAUGCUCUUUCACUGUUCCGAUAAAUUUAGCCAUUGAUUGAUUGCCCUUUUUUAGGUCUCGCCACUGUUGGUCGAGAAGAUCUUCCUGGGCGGCGGUUUGGGUGAGAAACGAGGUCGCAAGGGAGGUCCAUGCCUCCUGUGAUGUCUUGGCAGUGAGAAUGGUGACGCCGAUCUCUUCUGUUACUGCCAACAUUACACAGCACUCCAUUUUGGUCCACCUGCUCCAAAGACAAGAAUGUCGGGCCGAGACUCAAGCUACUACUCAUGACUUGGCAACCAGGAGCGAACGUUCGGACAUGAGGGCACGGACUACGGAAGAGAAGCAGGAAUCGCUAGAAAAGCACAGAAGGGCAAUCAGAAGAAUGAAUGAAUAAGGAACCCCGAAAAUAGCAGAAGCCGGCAUUGUAGCACUAUUCAUCGACAGAUCGCCGGAGCGUCAGAAGAUAUCCAAUAUGGGACUCUAAAAAUCCCUCUUGAUACAAAAAUGACCAAUGGCACCUCCGAGCGCAUUUCAGAAGCCUCCUGCUUAAGCCGGGGCACUCCUGAACAUUUGCAGACGCAUUCCUAAACGGGCUCUCAGGACGCCAGAUUCGCGGACAAGUAAACGGCACCCGAAAACAGGCUUGCACACACCCAAGGACCACUAGGACCAUGGAACAGGAUUCAAACUGUGUUUUAGGGUUCAUCUUGGUCUCCUGAGUGGAUCUCGACCAUGGAAAAAUGGGCCCUUUUUUACAAAAAGACAUAGCUGGAGACCCUUUUAACAAAUCGUCAGUACACGAAAUUUGCGCUAAUCAAUCCGAGGGACCUCAAGAGCUUGGGAGACAAACCCUGAUCACAUUGCAUAAUCCAUUUAGGUUUUUCGAGUACCAUUCCAA